rnacentral:rRNA from 1 species
ACGCUGGCGGCAGGCUUAACACAUGCAAGUCGAACGGUAACAGGAAUUAGCUUGCUAAUUUGCUGACGAGUGGCGGACGGGUGAGUAAUGCUUGGGAAUCUGGCUUACGGAGGGGGAUAACUACGGGAAACUGUAGCUAAUACCGCGUAAAAUCUUCGGAUUAAAGGGUGGGACUUUCGAGCCACCUGCCAUAAGAUGAGCCCAAGUGGGAUUAGGUAGUUGGUUAGGUAAAGGCUGACCAAGCCGACGAUCUCUAGCUGGUCUGAGAGGAUGACCAGCCACACUGGAACUGAGACACGGUCCAGACUCCUACGGGAGGCAGCAGUGGGGAAUAUUGCACAAUGGGGGGAACCCUGAUGCAGCCAUGCCGCGUGAAUGAAGAAGGCCUUCGGGUUGUAAAGUUCUUUCGGUGACGAGGAAGGUUGAUAGGUUAAUAGCCUAUCAAAUUGACGUUAAUCACAGAAGAAGCACCGGCUAACUCCGUGCCAGCAGCCGCGGUAAUACGGGGGGUGCGAGCGUUAAUCGGAAUAACUGGGCGUAAAGGGCACGCAGGCGGUGACUUAAGUGAGAUGUGAAAGCCCCGAGCUUAACUUGGGAAUUGCAUUUCAUACUGGGUCGCUAGAGUACUUUAGGGAGGGGUAGAAUUCCACGUGUAGCGGUGAAAUGCGUAGAGAUGUGGAGGAAUACCGAAGGCGAAGGCAGCCCCUUGGGAAUGUACUGACGCUCAUGUGCGAAAGCGUGGGGAGCAAACAGGAUUAGAUACCCUGGUAGUCCACGCUGUAAACGAUGUCGAUUUGGGGAUUGGGCUUUGAGCUUGGUGCCCGUAGCUAACGUGAUAAAUCGACCGCCUGGGGAGUACGGCCGCAAGGUUAAAACUCAAAUGAAUUGACGGGGGCCCGCACAAGCGGUG